CACGCCUUAUUCUUUUUGUUUCUUUUACUCAAAACAUCUUAAAAUCAAAACAGUUUAGAGAGAUCAAGUCAAGAAAUUUUAAAAAAAAAAAAAUUGAUAGUCAAAAUUAGUUAGUGUUGUUGCCGAUUUUAAAAAAAAAAAAAACAAGUUGAGAUUUGAAGAUGAAAAAAAAUCAAAAAAUAUAAAAGAAAAUUCCUUUCAAUCUAAUGCUAGAAAAGAUCAAGAAUUGGGUGAAAUCUCCAUGGAUUUUCUUUUGCUUAUUUAAUCAUCCAUGAUUUUAGGACCAACUGAUCAUGAAGAUCAUUCAAUAAAUGAUACACAAGAUAUGGACACAAUGAAAAUAUUGAGAAGUGAAUAUAUAUAUAUAUAUAUAUAAGGUGAUUGUACAAGUAUAAAUAACAAUGACAAAAGAAAAUUAAAGAAUAAAGAUCAUAGAUGCAUACAUCUACAAUAUUUUUCUUACGUUUUGCUUGAGUUAGAAUGCCGUGAGAGCAAUGAAUGAAAAAUUACUUUGAAAAUUUUGCUUUAGUUGGUUUAGAUGUCUCUUGGAAAGAAACUAAUUAAGAUGGGGAAAAUGUACCCUCUUUCUCUCCAUUUUUAUUGUACUAUAUAUAGUCUUAUGUCUAAACCCUCCAUUUUUAUUGUAUUGUAUAUGUAGUUUUUUA